UGGUGUUCCUAGCACAGUCAGCUCAUUGUCGAACAUUAACACACAGGUAUAUAUCCCGAUAUCUGGAUGGUCCGGAGCUUACCCCAAUGGAGAUUACAUAAACUCUUCGUCAACCUUCAUUAGUAUUCGUUCAUGGUACAAGAACGAUCCCAACUGGAGCCAGCUGGAGUCUUAUUUGAACGGUGGACCAGCCCCCACCAUCACCUACCAUCGCUUCUGGGAGCAAGCAGAUUUGGCUCUUGCUCUGGGUGCUUACGGAAUGUUGUUUAAUGAGUAAACAAUGUCUUCA
rnacentral:lncRNA from 1 species